CUAAGUUACAUCAUAAUUGAAUUUGGCAUUGAUAUUUCUUAAAAUACUGGCACAUUUCUUCUUGCCAUAGAUUUCCAUUAAAAACAAAGUAUCAGUGCUGUAAACCUAAUGUGAAAAUGUGCUAGAAAGCUUGCUAAUAGCAAUGAUAAACACACAGAUUCCCCUCCAUAAUUUCCAUUAUGGUGGAAUUAUUUAGUCUCGAUUUUCAUGCUCCAAAUCCUCUGGAAUAAUUAGAUCACUUGACAGAAUUUUCUCUCCUAGUUAAUCAUACAAAGAAAGCAGCCAAAUAUGUGCAUCAGUCCACCAAAAAKGCCAUCUACCUGUAGUGUGCUUGGAUGUUACUCUACUGUUAAAUUUGAACCUAUCAACUGCGUACAGGUGGUCGAACACACAACCUCGAUCCUCCACGGGAGAAAGUGAACCAUAUGGGAACCAAACGACGAAUGCUGUCCACAGGGUUCAGCGAGCUGUAAGGCACAGGCCUAGGCACUCACGGUCGGUGAACUAGCACACAGCGCUCUUCCCAGGGAUCACCUAUGCGCAUGGCUUCUUUCAAGCUGCUUUACUAUGCUGGAACACUAAGGGGACGCUUCCCAAAUUAAGUAUAAAUUCCUUGGUACCGAGUGACUGAAUAAUUUUCUGCAGGAUCCUAGGUGCCCCCAGGAAUGCCUAUGUUUUUAUAAGAUAUUGAACAUGAAAAAUCUGUGGCAAAAGAAAAAAAACCAGUCUGGAUUCAUAAGGAUUAGUCAGGAGUUAUAAGAAGGAAAAACAAAAAAAGCAAGAGAAAGCGUAUACAGAGUGAGUUACUACUGCUUGCCAUGUCUUCAGCAGUCAGGCACUGUGAAAACUGUAGGUAAAAUCCAGUAAGUUGAACUAUCCYAACUAGUAGUUUGCUAUUCCAUUUUACAGUCUCCAUCAGGUAAGAAAUUACAGAAUCUUUUUAAAGAACAUAUAUAACAAGAGUUACAUUACGGUACAAAUUGUGUAAUUUUCAACUGUUAUCAAGUGCUAGUUAUUUCUUAGAAAAGUUGUCUCAUGUUUUGUACAUUAAGAGUCUCAUUUUUUACAAGAAAARCAUUCAGAAAAUAGAAAAGAGUAGGGAGAAUCACAGGAUCUAUUCUAUUUCAGACUACUAUGCAGUGGAGUAUCUCACUUYGAGUUGAUUUAUUUUCCCCCCAGUGGGUCGUAUGUGCUGAUCMGAACAUUUUGUUUGGGCUUGCGGGUUCCCUCCCCUCCGCUUCCAUCCCCACGGGCAGCAUCUGCUUCUCUGCCGGCUCCGUUCCUGGCCAAGCCCCAGCACAGUGUCCUAGCAGAGGGUCAGCAAAUCACAUGCACCGGGCAGCUGCUGGGAGCCUGUCAUAGCUUCAAGGCUUCACGUACUUAGAUAUCGACUCCCCUGUGACGUGAGUCUGUCAUUGCU
rnacentral:lncRNA from 1 species